CCUACGGGAGGCAGCAGUGGGGAAUAUUGCACAAUGGGGGGAACCCUGAUGCAGCAACGCCGCGUGAAGGAAGACGGUUUUCGGAUUGUAAACUUCUAUCAAUAGGGAAGAAAGAAAUGACGGUACCUAAAUAAGAAGCCCCGGCUAACUACGUGCCAGCAGCCGCGGUAAUACGUAGGGGGCAAGCGUUAUCCGGAAUUACUGGGUGUAAAGGGAGAGUAGGCGGCAAGGUAAGCGAUAUGUGAAAGCCUUAGGCUUAACCUGAGGAUUGCAUAACGAACUAUCUAGCUAGAGUACAGGAGAGGAAAGCGGAAUUCCUAGUGUAGCGGUGAAAUGCGUAGAUAUUAGGAAGAACACCAGUGGCGAAGGCGGCUUUCUGGACUGAAACUGACGCUGAGGCUCGAAAGCGUGGGGAGCGAACAGGAUUAGAUACCCCAGU
rnacentral:rRNA from 1 species